GUAAUACUGUGUGAGUCAAGGCAUUCCCGAAGGCUGCAGUCCAGGAUGCCGCCACCAGGAGGCCACAGAGCUGCGGUGUUACAGAUGUGGCAUAGUGCAGAGGGUGACAUAUGGCUGCAUAGCGAUCGUAGGCCAUGGCAGUCAGCAGGAAGCUGUCGAUGCCAGCAAACCAGAUGAAGAAGAAGAUCUGGGUCAGGCAGCCUGCAGAAGGGAUCCCUUUGUGUCCUGACACGUGGUUGGCCAGCAUCUUGGGGAUGGUGGUGGAGGUGAAGCAAAUGUCCACGAAGGCCAGGUUGGCCAGGAAGAAGUACAUGGGAGUGUGGAGUCGGAUGUCGCUGGUGAUGACCAGGACGAUGAGCAGGUUCCCCAGCCCUGUGACCAGAUACACGCUCAGGAAGAGUAUAAACAGAAGCUGCUGUUGUUUGGGGUCCUCUGAGAGGCCCAGGAGCAGGAACUCAGAGACCCAGGAUCCCUCCACUCAUUUGCUGCAUCAUUGCCAUCAGUGGACACACCAUUCAUUCCCCACAGGCCCCCUGCAGGGUGUCACCUGCAGCUUGGUACACAGCUCCCAAGUACGCUGACCAUUUCUCACCUCCACCACCCACAUCUCUAUGCCCCAGGCUUUGUCUGGCUACAGGAGGAAGCUCAGCCUGCACACAGGGUAAAGAGGAAGCACUGGGAGUUGACACCCCCGGGAGUGAACUUGGGCCAAUGAGGAACAGGGCUCGUUGGGUGAAUCCCCUGACCUUAGCACUCCUGAGUGGGGCAGUUCUGGGGUGUGCGCUCCAAGGGGUCCCUAUAAGGAUCACCCCUCAGUUGCCUGGAGCAGGGAGCUUCUUAUCCACACCUCCCUUCCCCAAAUGCCCAUUGGGUCUCCCGGGAUUAUCUCUCAAGUGAACUAUUUGCACUCAAGUCCUUGACACAGAACCUGCUUUGAGGAGAAUCCAGACUAAGAUGCAAGGAUUCCAAAAUUCCUUCUGUCUUUGAAGGAAUCCCUUCUUUGUCCCAAGUACCCCUCCAGCUCCUGUGUCCUUUCUCUGGCUCCAUUGGACCUCAACACUCCUCAAAAGCAUUGUCUGUCCUUUCAUGUCAAGAGCAACCAUGACCUAUUGCUGCUAAUCCAAGGCUAGGGUACCACCGGUACGCACCAGUACGAUUGUCUCAUUGCUGAAAUCCGG
rnacentral:lncRNA from 1 species